rnacentral:rRNA from 1 species
AAACCGCGAACGGCUCAUUAGAACAGCUAUAAUUUACUUGAUCUUGAACAGUUACUCGGAUAACUGUGGUAAUUCUAGAGCUAAUACGUGCACCAAAGCUGUUCCCCCUUGCGGGGAGCAGUGCAUUUAUUUGAGCAAAACCAAACGGCUUCGGCCGUCCCUGGUGAACCAGAAUAACUAAGCUGAUCGCAUGGGCUUGUCCCGGCGACGUGUCUUUCAAGUGUCUGCCUUAUCAACUUUCGAUGGUAGUGUAUAGGACUACCAUGGUGUUGACGGGUAACGGAGGAUAAGGGUUCGACUCCGGAGAAGGGGCCUGAGAAAUGGCCACUACGUCUAAGGAUGGCAGCAGGCGCGCAAAUUACCCACUCUCAGUUCGAGGAGGUAGUGACGAAAAAUAACAAGGCCGUUCUCUACGAGGCCGGCCAUUGGAAUGGGUACAACUUAAACCCUUUAACGAGUAUCAAUGAGAGGGCAAGUCUGGUGCCAGCAGCCGCGGUAAUUCCAGCUCUCAAAGUGCAUAGAACCAUUGCUGCGGUUAAAAAGCUCGUAGUUGGAUCUGUGCCUGUGACGUGGUCCACUCGCAAGAGUGGUACUGCGCUCACGGGCUUUGGACCGGUCUUCGCGGUCGGUAGUCUUCACUGGCUGCCGCCCGUGGCUGGUUGGUUUACUUUGAGCAAAUCAGAGUGCUCAGCACAGGCGUCUUGCCGGAAUGUUCGUGCAUGGAAUAAUAGAAAAGGAUUUCGGUCCUCUUUUGUUGGUUUUGUGGACUGAGAUAAUGGUUAACAGAGACGACCGGGGGCAUUCGUAUUGCUGCGUGAGAGGUGAAAUUCUUGGACCGCAGCAGGACGAACUACAGCGAAAGCAUUUGCCAAGUGCGUCUUCAUUAAUCAAGAACGAAAGUCAGAGGUUCGAAGGCGAUCAGAUACCGCCCUAGUUCUGACCGUAAACGAUGCCAACUAGCGAUCCGCCGGUGGCCUUAAGGCCUUGGUGGGGAGCUUCCCGGAAACGAAAGUCUUCCGGUUCCGGGGGAAGUAUGGUUGCAAAGCUGAAACUUAAAGGAAUUGACGGAAGGGCACCACCAGGAGUGGAGCCUGCGGCUUAAUUUGACUCAACACGGGGAAACUCACCCGGCCCGGACACCGUAAGGAUUGACAGAUUGAUAGCUCUUUCAUGAUUCGGUGGUUGGUGGUGCAUGGCCGUUCUUAGUUA